rnacentral:rRNA from 1 species
AUGUGCUAUGGCGCACACAGAUCAUCCCGCAACUGCGUGGCGCCGGGGUGUUCGGCUAUGUCGACGGCACCCUGCCGAAACCGGCCAAGCUCCUCAUCACCAAGGACAAGGAUCGCAAGGAGACUCUUGAGCCCAACCCUCUCCACCCAAUCUGGGUCAGGGAGGACCAAUAGGUGCUCGGCUACCUGCUGA